UUUGAAUGCAGAGGAAUACAUUCUGCGACUCCUGGGUUACUAACUUACAGAAAACCUUGCAUCCACCACUGGAUACAUUUAUGCCUGGUUCACAUGUUAGAGAGGUUGGCUACUCAAGCAUCUUAAAGAUAUUCGACCUCUGAAGAGAUAGUAAAGACAUAC